UACGUAGGGUGCAAGCGUUGUCCGGAAUUAUUGGGCGUAAAGAGCUCGUAGGCGGUUCGUCGCGUCUGCUGUGAAAACUCGGGGCUUAACUCCGGGCCUGCAGUGGGUACGGGCAGACUAGAGUGCGGUAGGGGAGACUGGAAUUCCUGGUGUAGCGGUGAAAUGCGCAGAUAUCAGGAGGAACACCGGUGGCGAAGGCGGGUCUCUGGGCCGUAACUGACGCUGAGGAGCGAAAGCGUGGGGAGCGAACAGG
rnacentral:rRNA from 1 species